rnacentral:rRNA from 1 species
UGGGGAAUAUUGCACAAUGGGCGAAAGCCUGAUGCAGCGACGCCGCGUGAGGGAUGACGGCCUUCGGGUUGUAAACCUCUUUCAGCAGGGAAGAAGCGAAAGUGACGGUACCUGCAGAGGAAGCGCCGGCUAACUACGUGCCAGCAGCCGCGGUAAUACGUAGGGCGCAAGCGUUGUCCGGAAUUAUUGGGCGUAAAGAGCUCGUAGGCGGUUAGUCGCGUCUGCUGUGAAAACUCGAGGCUCAACCUCGGGCUUGCAGUGGGUACGGGCUGACUAGAGUGCGGUAGGGGUGACUGGAAUUCCUGGUGUGGCGGUGGAAUGCGCAGAUAUCAGGAGGAACACCGAUGGCGAAGGCAGGUCACUGGGCCGCAACUGACGCUGAGGAGCGAAAGCAUGGGGAGCGAACAGGAUUAGAUACCCUGGUAGUCCAUGCCGUAAACGUUGGGCACUAGGUGUGGGGUCCAUUCCACGGAUUCCGUGCCGCAGCAAACGCAUUAAGUGCCCCGCCUGGGGAGUACGGCCGCAAGGCUAAAACUUAAAGGAAUUGAC